GAUGAACGCUAGCGGCAGGCUUAACACAUGCAAGUCGAGGGGUAGAAGGAGCUUGCUCCUUUGAGACCGGCGCACGGGUGCGUAACGCGUAUGCAAUCUACCUUUUGCAGAGGGAUAGCCCAGAGAAAUUUGGAUUAAUACCUCAUAGUAUGUGAGGAUGGCAUCAUUUUCACAUUAAAGUCACAACGGCAAAAGAUGAGCAUGCGUCCCAUUAGCUAGUUGGUAAGGUAACGGCUUACCAAGGCUACGAUGGGUAGGGGUCCUGAGAGGGAGAUCCCCCCACACUGGUACUGAGACACGGACCAGACUCCUACGGGAGGCAGCAGUGAGGAAUAUU
rnacentral:rRNA from 1 species